AAAGGUGCUUGAUGAUGUCCAAAUUACACCUCCUCAUAGAAGAUGAUACUAUCAUUGUCAAAAUAUAGUAACUCAACAGAGAUUGGGGUCGAAUCCCAAGGGAACACAUGGAAUUGUGGAUCUCAGUAGUUAUAGUCAAUGGUAAUAAUAAGAAAAGUAAAUGGGGAGGGGGGAUUCUAUAGUAAUCACAAGAAAGUAUCUGUAUCAACUUCAGUUGUAAUCAGCCAUAGGUGAAUACUGGGAUUCUGUCCCCCC
rnacentral:lncRNA from 1 species